rnacentral:rRNA from 1 species
UGCUGCUUUGCUGACGAGUGGCGGACGGGUGAGUAAUGUCUGGGAAACUGCCUGAUGGAGGGGGAUAACUACUGGAAACGGUAGCUAAUACCGCAUAACGUCGCAAGACCAAAGAGGGGGACCUUCGGGCCUCUUGCCAUCGGAUGUGCCCAGAUGGGAUUAGCUAGUAGGUGGGGUAACGGCUCACCUAGGCGACGAUCCCUAGCUGGUCUGAGAGGAUGACCAGCCACACUGGAACUGAGACACGGUCCAGACUCCUACGGGAGGCAGCAGUGGGGAAUAUUGCACAAUGGGCGCAAGCCUGAUGCAGCCAUGCCGCGUGUAUGAAGAAGGCCUUCGGGUUGUAAAGUACUUUCAGCGGGGAGGAAGGGAGUAAAGUUAAUACCUUUGCUCAUUGACGUUACCCGCAGAAGAAGCACCGGCUAACUCCGUGCCAGCAGCCGCGGUAAUACGGAGGGUGCAAGCGUUAAUCGGAAUUACUGGGCGUAAAGCGCACGCAGGCGGUUUGUUAAGUCAGAUGUGAAAUCCCCGGGCUCAACCUGGGAACUGCAUCUGAUACUGGCAAGCUUGAGUCUCGUAGAGGGGGGUAGAAUUCCAGGUGUAGCGGUGAAAUGCGUAGAGAUCUGGAGGAAUACCGGUGGCGAAGGCGGCCCCCUGGACGAAGACUGACGCUCAUGUGCGAAAGCGUGGGGAGCAAACAGGAUUAUAUACCCUGAUAGUCCACGCCGUAAACGAUGUCGACUUGGAGGGUUGUGCCCUUGAGGCGUGGCU